rnacentral:rRNA from 1 species
UACGUAGGGUGCAAGCGUUAAUCGGAAUUACUGGGCGUAAAGCGUGCGCAGGCGGUGAUGUAAGACAGAUGUGAAAUCCCCGGGCUCAACCUGGGAACUGCAUUUGUGACUGCAUCGCUGGAGUGCGGCAGAGGGGGAUGGAAUUCCGCGUGUAGCAGUGAAAUGCGUAGAUAUGCGGAGGAACACCGAUGGCGAAGGCAAUCACCUGGGCCUGCACUGACGCUCAUGCACGAAAGCGUGGGGAGCAAACAGG